UACGACUACAUAUCAGGCAUAUCAAUAAGCGGAGGAAAAGAAACUAACAAGGAUUCCCUUAGUAACGGCGAGUGAAGCGGGAAGAGCUCAAAUUUGAAAUCUUCAAGGUUUUACCUUGACGAAUUGUAGUUUAAGGAAGUGUUUUCUGUUGAAGUUUUGGUAAAAGUUCUUUGGAAUAGGACAUCAUAGAGGGUGAGAAUCCCGUAUUUGACCAUUAUUUCCAGCUGUGUGAUACACUUUCAAGGAGUCGGAUUGUUUGGGAAUGCAGUCCAAAAUGGGUGGUAAAUUUCAUCUAAAGCUAAAUAUUGGCGAGAGACCGAUAGCGAACAAGUACCGUGAGGGAAAGAUGAAAAGAACUUUGAAAAGAGAGUUAAACAGUACGUGAAAUUGUCAAAAGGGAAGCGUUUGACACCAGUGUUGUUUUCUCGAAAAUCAAUUAAAAAAGUCAUGGAUUUUGUGUUGUAUUGACCUUUAAUCAGCUUGCUUCACUCUUUUCUGUCUUUUUUAAUGCACUUUUCGUUUAACAAGUCAACAUCAGUUUCUUUUGUUGUAAAAGGGUCAUUGGAAGGUGGCUUUCUCUUCGGAGAAAGUGUUUAUAGCCUUUGAUCCCUGCAAUCGGAGAGACUGGGGUCUGCAGCGUAGAUCCUUCGGGGUUAGAUACAUUUGUGCUAAGCUACAGCUUUUCAUAGACAACUUGUUGACUAUGUUUAGUCUUGUGACUUACCCGCUUAUGCUAUUUUACCUACGCUUAGGAUGUUGAGCGCAUGUCUCUCUC
rnacentral:rRNA from 1 species